rnacentral:rRNA from 1 species
UGAGGGUAGCGGAGAAAUUCCAAUCGAACCUGGAGAUAGCUGGUUCUCUCCGAAAUAGCUUUAGGGCUAGCCUCAAGUGAUGAUUAUUGGAGGUAGAGCACUGUUUGGACGAGGGGCCCCUCUCGGGUUACCGAAUUCAGACAAACUCCGAAUGCCAAUUAAUUUAACUUGGGAGUCAGAACAUGGGUGAUAAGGUCCGUGUUCGAAAGGGAAACAGCCCAGACCACCAGCUAAGGUCCCAAAAUAUAUGUUAAGUGGAAAAGGAUGUGGCGUUGCCCAGACAACUAGGAUGUUGGCUUAGAAGCAGCCAUCAUUUAAAGAGUGCGUAAUAGCUCACUAGUCGAGUGACACUGCGCCGAAAAUGUACCGGGGCUAAACAUAUUACCGAAGCUGUGGAUUGUCCUUUGGACAAUGGUAGGAGAGCGUUCUAAGGGCGUUGAAGCAUGAUCGUAAGGACAUGUGGAGCGCUUAGAAGUGAGAAUGCCGGUGUGAGUAGCGAAAGACGGGUGAGAAUCCCGUCCACCGAUUGACUAAGGUUUCCAGAGGAAGGCUCGUCCGCUCUGGGUUAGUCGGGUCCUAAGCUGAGGCCGACAGGCGUAGGCGAUGGAUAACAGGUUGAUAUUCCUGUACCACCUAUAAUCGUUUUAAUCGAUGGGGGGACGCAGUAGGAUAGGCGAAGCGUGCGAUUGGAUUGCACGUCUAAGCAGUAAGGCUGAGUAUUAGGCAAAUCCGGUACUCAUUAAGGCUGAGCUGUGAUGGGGAGAAGACAUUGUGUCUUCGAGUCGUUGAUUUCACACUGCCGAGAAAAGCCUCUAGAUAGAAAAUAGGUGCCCGUACCGCAAACCGACACAGGUAGUCAAGAUGAGAAUUCUAAGGUGAGCGAGCGAACUCUCGUUAAGGAACUCGGCAAAAUGACCCCGUAACUUCGGGAGAAGGGGUGCUCUUUAGGGUUAACGCCCAGAAGAGCCGCAGUGAAUAGGCCCAAGCGACUGUUUAUCAAAAACACAGGUCUCUGCUAAACCGUAAGGUGAUGUAUAGGGGCUGACGCCUGCCCGGUGCUGGAAGGUUAAGAGGAGUGGUUAGCUUCUGCGAAGCUACGAAUCGAAGCCCCAGUAAACGGCGGCCGUAACUAUAACGGUCCUAAGGUAGCGAAAUUCCUUGUCGGGUAAGUUCCGACCCGCACGAAAGGCGUAACGAUUUGGGCACUGUCUCAACGAGAGACUCGGUGAAAUCAUAGUACCUGUGAAGAUGCAGGUUACCCGCGACAGGACGGAAAGACCCCGUGGAGCUUUACUGUAGCCUGAUAUUGAAAUUCGGCACAGCUUGUACAGGAUAGGUAGGAGCCUUUGAAACGUGAGCGCUAGCUUACGUGGAGGCGCUGGUGGGAUACUACCCUAGCUGUGUUGGCUUUCUAACCCGCACCACUUAUCGUGGUGGGAGACAGUGUCAGGCGGGCAGUUUGACUGGGGCGGUCGCCUCCUAAAAGGUAACGGAGGCGCUCAAAGGUUCCCUCAGAAUGGUUGGAAAUCAUUCAUAGAGUGUAAAGGCAUAAGGGAGCUUGACUGCGAGACCUACAAGUCGAGCAGGGUCGAAAGACGGACUUAGUGAUCCGGUGGUUCCGCAUGGAAGGGCCAUCGCUCAACGGAUAAAAGCUACCCCGGGGAUAACAGGCUUAUCUCCCCCAAGAGUUCACAUCGACGGGGAGGUUUGGCACCUCGAUGUCGGCUCAUCGCAUCCUGGGGCUGUAGUCGGUCCCAAGGGUUGGGCUGUUCGCCCAUUAAAGCGGUACGCGAGCUGGGUUCAGAACGUCGUGAGACAGUUCGGUCCCUAUCCGUCGUGGGCGUAGGAAAUUUGAGAGGAGCUGUCCUUAGUACGAGAGGACCGGGAUGGACAUACCUCUGGUGUACCAGUUGUCGUGCCAACGGCAUAGCUGGGUAGCUAUGUGUGGACGGGAUAAGUGCUGAAAGCAUCUAAGCAUGAAGCCCCCCUCAAGAUGAGAUUUCCCAACUUCGGUUAUAAGAUCCCUCAAAGAUGAUGAGGUUAAUAGGUUCGAGGUGGAAGCAUGGUGACAUGUGGAGCUGACGAAUACUAA